GCUGUGAAUGCGCUCGGUCAUCCCCUUGCAACUGAUGUCACCUGCAGCAUGUCAACGCAGACACAAAACAGGGCAUGGGUCAGAUCUAGCUGGUUGCAUUCCUAACACCUAGGUUUCAGAGUAAAAAUACAGAGUCAGCUUGUGAUGGCAUUCCCUCAAAACAUGGAAGGAAUUGCAGUAAUGAAAGUCAUCAUGUAUUCUAAGAGACUGUUCUGCGAGAGCACAACACAGACGGGGCUAAAGCAGGGUGAGAAGCAAAAGUGCUCAGGAGUUAAGAGAAGCAGACGUCCGAAAUUAUCUCCAUGCAUUACCAAAAACCGUGGGCACCACGGCACGGGGAAAACUUACCAGGUACAAUGAGCCAGUGACUGUUACUGAAUUUCUUAAGAUUACACUUUUCCCAACUACUGCAGACUGCUUCAGAAUAGAAGAAGACAACUCUCAUGCCAUCAAGCCGACGGACUUUCAAAAAAAUAAAAGAUGCAUUUCUUUACUUCUACGGUGAAAGGGCACCUAAGGUGAAUGGACAGAUUGUAGAUGGGUGCACACAGGAAAAUGUACAGCUCCUACAAUGUAUUCUGAGGGCCCAUGAGAAGUAAAAGCAGGCACUGGCAUUCUGCACAGAUGAAAUACUUCCUACGACAGGAAUACAUGCUCACUUGUGGACUUCUCUGUAAUCUGUAGGCAACAUCAGCUCCUGAUUUCUAGGUCUGGAUCUGGGUUCUCUGUAGCACAGGAAGGUCUCUACUUCUCCUACAUAAAUGCCUUGCAUGGCGGGAACUAAAUCAACUACACAGACCCAUACAUCCAGAGAGCAGAGGUGAGCUGGAUACAAGUGGCUUAGAGAUGUGGUGGAAGGAGGCCAGAGCUCCAAGGGAAGGGCAGCAAGGAGACAACAGCAUGGGUUGCAGCUCAGACAACAGGUAAAUAAAACCAAGCAAAGCUGCUGGUCACAGAUUUGACCAGGGUGGCAAGAAAUGACAAGCUACCAUGAGAUUCAACAGUGGCACGGAAGGAUGAUGAGAAGCAAACAGAUUAGGAGAAGCUGCCACCACCGUACAUAGAGGCACAGAUGACCAAGCAGAACAGCACCAGUCCCUGCAAGGUGUGCUCAGAUACAGCUCAGCACAGCCAUCUGGCCAGGAGGGAAUGAUAAUGCACAUGGUGUGCACUGCAGCCGGGAAGUUGAGAACCGCUGUGGGCACCUCAGGACUGAGUCUGGUUACCCUGCUGAUCCAAGAAAUGAAGCCAUCUAAAAUUUUGCCUGCUUUCACAAUUUUCUGUGUGUGUGUGUGUGUAUUAAACAAAGUGAACU
rnacentral:lncRNA from 10 species